UUGUUUAUUUGUGUGUCUGUUUCAUCUUGUUGUGUUCAUUACUCAGAUCUCAAACGCACAUCUGAGCAUAGUUCAUCGACCGCAUUAUAUUUUUGAAAAAAAAAAGUGGUUUAGGGUUUUUGUUGCCAGAUGGUUCUUAUGAUUGUGGCUCUUUUAUCUCGGCUGGGUUGACAACAGUUCUCCUCUCUGUUCGGUAACAGAGAAGCUCGAAUUCUCAUACUGGGUGUUGACAAUGCUGGCAAAACUACUAUUCUCUAUCGGCUUCAGAUGGGUGAGGUAGUCUCUACAAUUCCAACGAUUGGGUUUAAUGUAGAGGCUGUACAAUACAACAACAUCAAGCUUCAAGUAUGGGAUUUAGGUAAGUUAACAUUAAUAAAUCUGAAAUAGCAGUUGAUGUAGUUUAUACAAAUGGAGUUCAAUUUAAUUUACUUCAGCAUGAGUUGUCAGAUAAUGCCAUAGCUGGUUGCAUUGAAAAUGAAGGUCGUGCCUUUAAUUUUCCCUCAGUUACAUCUUUUAUUAUUACACGAUUCUCACCCUUGUUAAUUUGCAGUUACUUCUAAUUUAUUUUAUUUUAUUGAAGAAAGGUCACUAACUGUUUGUGUAUAUAUUUAAAAGAACACUCCUACAGGUUUUGGAAAGCUAUCAUCCACAUUGAGUAAUAUGGAGAUUCUUGACUUAAGUUACAAUUACUUGAAUGAUAGCAUUUUGUUAUCUUUGAGUGAGCUUUCAUCUCUCCGAUGUUUGGAUCUUUCAUUCAACCGAUUUGAAAGAUCAAGUCAUCCAAGAGGUAAAUUAAGUUUAGUCUGGUGUUAGUUUUUAUUUGUAUUGGGUAGUUUGACAUAGUUUUUAUUUGUAUUGGGUAGUUUGACAGUGGUUUUCCAUUGUUUUAUUCCCUGUAACUUAGUUUUUGGUUUACUAUUUUUUCAUAUGGUUGAGAGGAAAAAGAAACAAACAAACAAGUACUUACUCAAAUUAACUAAACAAUGGAGUUUUUUUUUUUUUUUUAUGUUUUGCAGUAACUAAUUCCAUAGUAAAUAAAUCAGGUUUUCAGUGGCUUUCAAGGCUCACUAAAUUGGAAAGUCUUAAUUCAAGAGGAAAUUCUUUAAAGAAUAGCAUUUUUUUACAUAUGAGAAAUCUUUCAUCUUUGAAGACUUUAAGUCUGAGUGGCAAUCAGUUGGGAGGAAAACUGCUUCAUAUUCAAGGUAGACUGAUUUUACACUUUUCUUGUUUAGUUUAAAAUAAAUUUAUGUUGAAGGAAAAGUUGUUGCAGUAUGUGAUUUGAUUUUAUCAUAUCAUGAAUAUAACUGAUCAAUAUUUGAGAUUGAAUAUAACUGAUUUUACAGUUUCAGUGACUUCUCAAUUUUAUUUUUUUCGAUAAAAAUACUAUUUAUAGACUGUUCUCUUGACAUACAAAGUAGUGGAGAUGUUAACUUGACCUCAAGGACAGAAACAGAACCCCCCAAAAGCCGUGCAAAAAGUCUCACCUAGUGAAUCACAUAAAGAUUUGUGGCUUGCUGUGCGAGACGGGUCCUUGCCUGAUGUAGAAUCAGCAUUGACGCUAUUGAAGAAGACUGCUGGUACCGUAAACUGUAGGAACAGGUUUGGCCUGACUUCUCUUCACAUUGCAACUUGGAGAAACCACCUUCCCAUUAUUCAGAGGCUUCUAGCUGCUGGUGCUGAUCCUGAUGCUAAGGAUGGAGAAUCCGGAUGGAGUAGCCUUCAUAGAGCUCUGCAUUUUGGUCAUCUUGCUGUAGCUAGUGUUCUCCUUCAGUCUGGUGCUUCUACUACAUUGGAAGAUUCAAACUGUAGAACACCUAUAGAUCUCCUUUCUGGGCCUGUGUUGAAGGUUUUCGAAAGUGGGCUUGAUUCAGGAUGAUGUGAGUCAACAACCAUGAAUGUAUUAUUUUAUCCUUUAUACUUUUCAGUGGUCAAGCUGCAGUUAUCACUCCCCGCCAAGUGACUUUUGGUUUGGGGGCUCGUCAGGUGAAAGCAAUUGCUGCAGCGAAACAUCACACUGUAGUUGCUACGGAGGUCGGGGAAGUGUUCACUUGGGGAUCUAAUAGAGGUAAAAACUCAUUGGUUAUACUAGCAAGAUUUGGUGACCAUAGGCGAUAGUUAUUUCCUGAAGUGAAAAUUCUCCAUUUGCAAGUCUCAUUAGAUAUUGAAGGAUUGAGCAAUUUAACAAAUUUGAAGAAACUCGAUUUAAGUUGGAAUCAAAUUGGAAGCUUUCAAUCCUUUAAAGCUCUAAUGCAUGGCGAUAACUUACAUGAGAAAUGGCAUACUGGAUCAAUCAGCCAUACUGCUUUCUAGCCAUGGUUGUCUAACUUACAUGAACUGCAAAAUAUUGAAGGUGUUGUAGAUGAUUCAAUCUCUUCAAGCUAGAAAAGCCAAGGCUUAGCACUUCUUCAAGUAGAGUGUUAUUUAAUGUUGCAUUCCAUGGUCGUUUAUCUUAGUCGGAACUUGAAUUUGAUGUUAUAAAAACAGGGUUUUUUAGCUAUCUUGUGUACUAGCUUCUUUAACCAUGAUUGUUAAUUAUUACGUGUUUUGUAGCUUCUUUUAUAUUUAUCCGAGUUAAUAUAGAUCAGAUGAGCUGCGAGGUAGAUUGCUCAUUUAUUUAAACAUAAUAUUUUAAUUCUAAA